rnacentral:rRNA from 1 species
UUACGGCCAUAUCAUGUUGAAACACUGGUUCUUGCAUGAUCACUGAAGUUAAGCAACAUUGAGCCUGGUCAGUACCUAGAUGGAUGAACACUUGGGAAUACCAGGUGUUGUAAG